UACAUGCAAGUCGAGCGAACAGACGAGGAGCUUGCUCCUUUGACGUUAGCGGCGGACGGGUGAGUAACACGUGGGUAACCUACCUAUAAGACUGGGAUAACUUCGGGAAACCGGAGCUAAUACCGGAUAAUAUUUCGAACCGCAUGGUUCGAUAGUGAAAGAUGGCUCUGCUAUCACUUAUAGAUGGACCUGCGCCGUAUUAGCUAGUUGGUAAGGUAACGGCUUACCAAGGCAACGAUACGUAGCCGACCUGAGAGGGUGAUCGGCCACACUGGAACUGAGACACGGUCCAGACUCCUACGGGAGGCAGCAGUAGGGAAUCUUCCGCAAUGGGCGAAAGCCUGACGGAGCAACGCCGCGUGAGUGAUGAAGGUCUUCGGAUCGUAAAACUCUGUUAUUAGGGAAAAACAAACGUGUAAGUAACUGUGCACGUCUUGACGGUACCUAAUCAGAAAGCCACGGCUAACUACGUGCCAGCAGCCGCGGUAAUACGUAGGUGGCAAGCGUUAUCCGGAAUUAUUGGGCGUAAAGCGCGCGUAGGCGGUUUUUUAAGUCUGAUGUGAAAGCCCACGGCUCAACCGUGGAGGGUCAUUGGAAACUGGAAAACUUGAGUGCAGAAGAGGAAAGUGGAAUUCCAUGUGUAGCGGUGAAAUGCGCAGAGAUAUGGAGGAACACCAGUGGCGAAGGCGACUUUCUGGUCUGUAACUGACGCUGAUGUGCGAAAGCGUGGGGAUCAAACAGGAUUAGAUACCCUGGUAGUCCACGCCGUAAACGAUGAGUGCUAAGUGUUAGGGGGUUUCCGCCCCUUAGUGCUGCAGCUAACGCAUUAAGCACUCCGCCUGGGGAGUACGACCGCAAGGUUGAAACUCAAAGGAAUUGACGGGGACCCGCACAAGCUGG
rnacentral:rRNA from 1 species